rnacentral:rRNA from 1 species
UUUUAUUAUGAGAGUUUGAUCCUGGCUCAGGACGAACGCUGGCGGCGUGCCUAAUACAUGCA